rnacentral:tRNA from 1 species
GCAGCGUUAGCGAAACGGUAUCGCGCCUGUCUGUCUCACAGGAGAGCAUGGGUUCGACUCCCAUACGCUGCG